rnacentral:rRNA from 1 species
AACGGCCAUACCAUGCUGAAUAUACCGGUUCUCGUUAGAUCACCGAAGUCAAGCAUCAUUGGGCGCGGUCAGUACUUGGGUGGGUGAUCACCUUGAAACACCGCGUGCCGUU